UGACGCGCGGCGUACGGCGGCGGUGUGUGUUGCACUUAACCCAGCAUGUCAGCACAUUUGUAAGCAUUAAGCUCACAAAAUACAGCUGAUUUUGGUCUUUAUUUUUUAGAUGAUUUGCCAUAAACUACAAUUUUGUACCAUUAGAAAUGUUGACAAACAGGUCAAAUACCAACAGGCUACCAGAGCAACUGAAACUGUUAUCAUAGAGUCACGUUCUUAGUAGGCUUAAGCGCUAAAACGUAAACAGGGAAUACAGAAGGAGACAAAACAUUACAAUUUCUCUCCUCUACCAAUAUGGAUGAUUCAGAGUGCAGACGACAGCAGCAGUGUGUGUUACCCUGGGCUAGAAUACCUGUGUUUGCUCUAAUAUCACCAACAAAGACUUUAUGCUGAUCUACAUGCACAGAGCGAGUGAAAACACAGGAGAUGACAGCCUGGAGAGGAGAGCCUUUAUGUGGGGCACGCUGGGGUCUGGCAGGGGCUCCUGAAGCACACACAGCAGCAGGCUGUCGGCCAGGGCAAGGGCCAGAUGACCGCAGUGGCCCAGGCCUCUAGGCUGGGACAUCCUGGAGAAAUGAUGAGAGCACAGUGAGCAUGUUUACAACCUCCUGCUGUAUCCUCAUUGGAGACUCCCCCUUGAAUUGAAGCAAACUUACUGAAUAAACAUAACACGAUUAAAUCCACGGACGGGGUCAGGAGGGAUUCACUCUAUGCGGCUGCACUCACCUGAUUCUGCCCUG